rnacentral:tRNA from 1 species
GAAAAAUUAGUUAAGCCAUAAUAUAAGCCUGUCACGCUUAAGUUAUCAAUUAAAUUUGAUAUUUUUCA